CGUGCCUUGUGAUCCAACCUUAGAUUUCCCCAGGGGCGGAUUCAAACGUAGCUUUCCUUUUUGUCCUAACUUUGUCUCGCCCUCACCGCCCUGUUCCUUUUUAUGUCCUCACCGGCAAACCCCUGAAUAUGACUCUUUGUUCUCCCAUCUUGGCUCCCUCAACAGCUAUUUCCUAAUGGUGAUAUUUGGGGUGCAGAUUUCAAAGUCAUGCACACGCCACACUCGCAGGUGUGAGAAAUGGCGGCAUCAAUCAGCCUGCUGAAGAAAAGAAAAGAACUGAGAGCCGUGAAAUAAAGCGAGCUUUAUCAAUAGGUGAUGGGCACUGCAGGCGGCCUCAAAGCGUCUGAAAGGGCUCCUUUGCCUGCAGAGAGAGGCAACAAAUGAGCUGUGCACGAGUCUUCGCUGCCCGCAGAUGCAUCGAGACAGAAAAGUCAAACCAGCUUUCUCAGAUUCAGCUAAGUGCUGGGGAAUGAGAGGUGAUGCUCAGCAAAGAAAAGAUGCACGGGCCCAGUCCUCCUAUGAGAAAUAUUAAUUUGGCUUCUAAUUAGGGAGAGAAUAUGUCGACGCCUCAAGCUGUUCUCUAUCUGCAGUCUCUGCCUUUUGUGAACGAGAGCUUCAAGGAAACUUCAGAGCUCUGAGGUCACAUCCACUCAAGCUUAAUUUGUUGCUCCUAAUCACCAGCUGUGUGGCUGAGAGGCUUUGAGGGAAGUUUCUUUGCCUCUCAGGGCCUCAUCUGCAGAUAGGGACACCAUUCCCUACAUAGUGGUGGUGGCUGGAGUUAGGAGAGUUGUGUUGAUGGGCUGCUUUGGCAGCAGACAAGGUGACUAGGAGUGAACUCCGUUGUUGUCACUUACUACCUCUCUAUGCCGGAAUUCCCUCUCUGUAGGAGAAGUGUGCUGUCCAUAACAAACAUUUUAUAAAGAUUAAAUAAGUUUAUGCAUAGAAAACAGUUAGCCUAAUUCCUGGUGCUUGGUCAGCACACAGUACAUAGUAGUUGUUAUUUUAUCAACAAGCCCACAUGAAAGGCGAGGCACUAAAAUGUUACUCUCUCCUCCA